UAUUCCAUUGACGUACACAAUUAACUAUACAAAUUUAACUACAUAUGGCAGCCCACGCACAUUGUGUAUCAAGGAUUAUUAACCUAUCCUAAUCUUUAAAAGAUUCUUAAGUAAAUAAUCCAAGACUUUAUAGCCAAUAGUCUAAGGUCUCCCCCACAACACCAAUGUCUUAUAUUAUAAAAGUUAGGAAACUAAGCCACAGAAACAAGUACAAAGGGAUGGCAAAAGUGGUGCCAGCAGUCGCGGUUAUACCUCUAUCCCAAGUUAAUUUUAACAAAUCAGGAUAAAUCUCUAGAAAGACUAUAAGAUCAACUUUUAAUGUAAAAAAUAUAUUACAACUACAUCCAACCAAGUCUUAUCCCCCUUAUCCAAACAAACCACAACCUCAGAACUCGGAUUAGAUACCCGACUACUGUGUGGCCUAACACAAAAAAGAACACUACAAACGAAAGUUUAAAACUCAAACAAUGUGGCGGUGCUUUACUUCCUCAUCAGGGGAUCCUGUGGCUUAAACCGAUAACCCACGAUAAAUCACAGCUUUCUUAGCCCCCACAGCUUGUGUAUGGCCGUUUAAGCUUGCUCAGAAAAGACAAACAAAGGAAGCAAUUAGGAUUCAACCCUAAUAAUUCAGGUGACAUACAGCCAAUGGAAAGCUGUCCCAUGGGAUACAAAUAGCUAGCACUACUGAAAUUUAACCUUAAAAGUUAAACGAAAGAGGACUUGAAAGUAAGAUUUCACACAUCAAGUAAAUCUGAACAUGAACUAAAGCGCGCACAAAUCGCCCGUCACUCCGACAAUAAAGUCGGAUAAGUCGUAACAUAGUAGGGGUAAUGGAAAUUGCCCCUAUAAAUCA
rnacentral:rRNA from 1 species